UACAGAGGUCUCAAGCGUUGUUCGGAUUCAUUGGGCGUAAAGGGUGCGUAGGUGGCGCGGUAAGUCGGGUGUGAAAUUUCGGAGCUUAACUCCGAAACUGCAUUCGAUACUGCCGUGCUUGAGGACGGGAGAGGAGACUGGAAUUUACGGUGUAGCAGUGAAAUGCGUAGAGAUCGUAAGGAAGACCAGUGGCGAAGGCGGGUCUCUGGACAGUUCCUGACACUGAGGCACGAAGGCCAGGGGAGCAAACGGG
rnacentral:rRNA from 1 species